UACGUAGGGUGCAAGCGUUAUCCGGAAUUAUUGGGCGUAAAGAGCUCGUAGGCGGUUUGUCGCGUCUGCUGUGAAAACUGGAGGCUCAACCUCCAGCCUGCAGUGGGUACGGGCAAACUAGAGUGCGGUAGGGGAGAUUGGAAUUCCUGGUGUAGCGGUGAAAUGCGCAGAUAUCAGGAGGAACACCAGUGGCGAAGGCGGUGCUCUGGGCCGGAACUGACGCUGAGGAGCGAAAGCGUGGGGAGCAAACAGG
rnacentral:rRNA from 1 species